GCUGGGCGUGUGCCUGGCGCCUAUCGUCCCCGUCACUCGGGAGGCAGAGGCAGGAGGAUGGAUUGAGUCGGGAGUUCCAGGCUGUGGUGCGCUAUGCCGAUGGGUGUCUAAAUUAAGUUCAGCAUUCAUAUGGUGACCUCCUGGCCACAGGGGACCAACAGGUUACCUAAAGAAGGGUGAACUGGUCCAUGUCAGAAACGGAGCAGGUCAGAACUCCUGGGCUGAUAAGUAGUGGGAUGGUGCCUGUGAAUAGCCACUGCAGUCCAACCUGGGCAACACAGUGAGACCCUGUCUCUU
ensembl:misc_RNA Metazoa_SRP Metazoan signal recognition particle RNA